ensembl:snRNA U6 U6 spliceosomal RNA
CUGCUUCAGUAGCAUAUACACAAAAACUGUAAUGAUGUAAAGAAGCUUAGCAAAGUACCCGUGCAAGAAUAACAUGUUAUUUUGUUAAGUGGUGUCUAUUUGU